UACAGAGGUCUCAAGCGUUGUUCGGAUUCAUUGGGCGUAAAGGGUGCGUAGGUGGCGCCGUAAGUCGGGUGUGAAAUUUCGGAGCUUAACUCCGAAACUGCAUUCGAUACUGCGGUGCUUGAGGACUGGGAGAGGAGACUGGAAUUCAUGGUGUAGCAGUGAAAUGCGUAGAGAUCAUGAGGAAGACCAGUGGCGAAGGCGGGUCUCGUGGACAGUUCCUGACACUGAGGCACGAAGGCCAGGGGGAGCAAAACGGGG
rnacentral:rRNA from 1 species